GACGAACGCUGGCGGCGUGCUUAACACAUGCCAGUCGAACGCUGAAGCUCAGCUUUUGUUGGGUGGAUGAGUGGCGAACGGGUGAGUAACACGUGAGUAACCUGCCUCCUUCUUUGGGAUAACGCCCGGAAACGGGUGCUAAUACUGGAUAUUCACUGGUCUUCGCAUGGGGGUUGGUGGAAAGGGUUUUUCUGGUGGGGGAUGGGCUCGCGGCCUAUCAGCUUGUUGGUGGGGUGAUGGCCUACCAAGGCUUUGACGGGUAGCCGGCCUGAGAGGGUGACCGGUCACAUUGGGACUGAGAUACGGCCCAGACUCCUACGGGAGGCAGCAGUGGGGAAUAUUGCACAAUGGGCGCAAGCCUGAUGCAGCGACGCCGCGUGAGGGAUGGAGGCCUUCGGGUUGUGAACCUCUUUCGCUCAUGGUCAAGCCGCAACAAUGGUUGCGGUGAGGGUAGUGGGUAAAGAAGCGCCGGCUAACUACGUG
rnacentral:rRNA from 1 species